CCUGCCUGUGGAUAGGAGCUACCCACCACGAGUUUCCUCUUUGCUGAGAGCUGAACACUCGUUGGGAUGACCUGCCUGCAGAAAGG
rnacentral:miRNA from 1 species